GAUACUUUGUUUUACCCUAAAUGCGAAUGAAGGAAUAACAAAAUUCUGUUAUGUCAUUGGAUCUCUGCUCGUAAUAUAUGCUUACUUUUAUCUGGGACAGAAAUUAAUAGAUGAGCACACUGAUUUAUUUAUUCAGUUAUGUCAAAUCCCGUUUUAUUUGUUAUCAUUGAAAACGCAAAAAAUAUUACUUCUACUGAUCAUGAAAACCAUGAGACCAUGUUAUCUUUCUAUAAGGGGAAUAGUCGUAGUAUCUCACUAUACUUUUGCGAAGUUAAUGAAGUCGUCAUUUUCAUUUGCUAUGGUAUGUUUUAAACUGUAAUGACUUUAACCGAUU